CGCGUGGGAACGUGCCUUCUGGUUCGGAAUAACUCAGGGAAACUUGAGCUAAUACCGGAUACGCCCUUUUGGGAAAGGUUUACUGCCGGAAGAUCGGCCCGCGUCUGAUUAGCUAGUUGGCGGGGUAACGGCCCACCAAGGCGACGAUCAGUAGCUGGUCUGAGAGGAUGAUCAGCCACACUGGGACUGAGACACGGUCCAGACUCCUACGGGAGGCAGCAGUGGGGAAUAUUGCACAAUGGGGGAAACCCUGAUGCAGCCAUGCCGCGUGUGUGAAGAAGGCCUUCGGUUGUAAGCACU
rnacentral:rRNA from 1 species